rnacentral:lncRNA from 10 species
CCACAACUGCUGCAUAUUUCUCCAUAUCAUGAACCACCUUCUAACAAGCUGCAUCAUCUACUGCUUAUGCUGUAGCCCCCACUGCAACAUAAGCUCCAUGAAGAUGGGGGGUUUUGUCCACUGCUGUCUAACUGAGCCUGGAACCAUGCCUGGCAUGUAGAAGGCACUUGGUAAAUACCUGUUAGAUGAAUGGCUCGAUUCUGGGAACUCAGAAAUAAAUAAAUGAGGUAGGAUCUUGGCCCUCCAGAGGCUACAGUUUAGUCGGAGAGACAAAUAUGGAUAUAUAGAUAAACAGAUCCUAUAAUGCAGCUGGCUCCAAAAAAUAUUCAGGGAAAAAAAGUGCCAUGAAAUAAGGAAUUUGAGAGAGAGAACAAGGGAAUUUGAGGCAUUAAUUCCCUUGUUCUACAGAUCCCUGAUUGAAAUCUAAUAAGUAACCAAUAAUAAUAGCUAAUAAAUAGCUAAAAAACUACAAUUUAGAAAAGUCUUAAAAAGACAUCAGCAUCAUAUAUAAGGCAGCUAGAUCUUUUGAUAUGUUAAUUCUCAUACCAUUUCUGCGAAGAAGUAAGUACCAUUCACUACUAUCCCUUUCCUCAGCAGAAAACAUGAGGUAGAGUGUAAGGAUUGGGUGCCUGGUACAGAUCAGAAAGCAACUAGGCCAGGCUGCCCCUAGACAGUUUCUGCGUCUAUCUGCAGGUCAGGACUAGGUAAAUAACUUCAUGGGAACGUCCACCGGAAACACUCACCAAAUACCCUGGAUACUCACAUGUCAUUUAGACUUAAUAGAAUGAUCUAAGAAUGGAAAAGGAGUACCCAGUUGCUUGGGACAUUCAGUCAGAGGCCAGAUCUCACAUGGGAUGGGGGUUCCAACUACCAGUAGGGAGUCCAUCCUCUAGGGUCCCAGCACUCCAAAGUCUAAUUCAGCU